UCUUGCGCAAUGGGAGCAAUCCUGACGCAGCGACGCCGCGUGGGGGAGGAAGGGCUUCGGCUCGUAAACCCCUGUUGCCCGGGGCGAACCUCUGGUUUCGACCAGACUGACGGUACCGGGUGAGGAAGCACCGGCUAACCCCGUGCCCGCAGCCGCGGUAAUACGGAGGGUGCGAGCGUUGUCCGGAAUCACUGGGCGUAAAGGGCGCGUAGGCGGCAUGCCAAGCGUGUGGUGAAAGCCCGGGGCUCAACCCCGGGUCGGCCGUGCGGACUGGCGUGCUUGAGCACUGUAGGGGCGGGUGGAAUUCCGGGUGUAGCGGUGGAAUGCGUAGAGAUCCGGAAGAACACCGGUGGCGAAGGCGGCCCGCUGGGCAGGAAGGAAGCGUAAGCUUCCGGCUGACGCUGAGGCGCGACAGCGUGGGGAGCAAAC
rnacentral:rRNA from 1 species